rnacentral:rRNA from 1 species
GGGGGGGGGGGGGGGGGGGGGUGGGGGGUGGGGGGCGGAGGGGAGGGCCGGGGUUGGGUGGGGUGCGCGAGUGGCGAACGGGUGAGUCGCACGUGAGUCAGCUGCCCUUGACGUUGGGACCACGUCAGGAACCGGGGGCUAAUACCGGGUAGGAGCUCCUGCUGCAUGGUGGGGGUUGGAAAGUUUAGGCGGUUGGGGAGGGACUCGCGGCUUAUCAGCUUGUUGGUGGGGUAGUGGCUUACCAAGGCUUUGACGGGUGGCAGGCCUGAGAGGGUGACCGGCCACAUUGGGACUGAGAUACGGCCCAGACUCCUACGGGAGGCAGCAGUGGGGAAUAUUGCACAAUGGGCGGAAGCCUGAUGCAGCAACGCCGCGUGCGGGAUGACGGCCUUCGGGUUGUAAACCGCUUUCGCCUGUGACGAAGCGUGAGUGACGGUAAUGGGUAAAGAAGCACCGGCUAACUACGUG